CUGAUCCACACUAUCUGAUCACUCUCUUCUACUUCUUUUAUCUUUGCUUUGUGCCUCUCUGUCACUCCCAACCCCAAAUAAGGGGAGUCAAUGUCCUAAUUGCCUUCCUCCCUGGCAUGUUAGUUGGGAAAGGCAGAAGAGGAGCAUCGUUUUAAACAUGUCAUUGAACCCAUGAGAAAGAGAGGGCCAGCCCUUUGUUCCAGAAGCAAAUCAGAAACUGAAACCCGGAACUCUUGAACAGUUGGUAUUGGUGUGUGGUGGUGUAGGGGGAAAGGGCAGUACUCCAGAAUCUAGGGGCUUAGGUUUUAGACAAGCUAAGGGGUUUGUUUUAGGCUUUAGACAAGCUAAGGGGCUAGGUUUUAGACAAUCUAGGGGCUUAGGUCUUAGACAAACAGAGAACUUGGGCUGCUAUAGAUGGGAGUUGAGACUGAAACCAAUCCCUUUACCACAAGCUAAGACUCUCAAAAAGAAUGGACUAGAAAAAAAAAAAAAAUCCAUGCCCCGUCAUAUGUAUCUAGCCAUUGAAUAGAUGAAAAAAGUCUUUCCUAAUAAGUAAUAAUCAUAGGGUUAUGCCAACCAUUAAAUAACAUAUAUUUUCUUAAUACACACAAGGAACAUUUAUACAAUAGGAACUGACCAAAUACUAGACAAUAAAAGAAGUCCUGCCAUAUAACAAAGAAGCAACGGCAUACUGACUUAGUUUUCUGAUCAAAAUACAAGUCAACAAAAUCAGAAAUCUGUAACAAAAACAUAAAAAAAAGAAUCCAUUUGGAAAUUUUAAGGCACACUUAUGUGAAUUCAUGGGACAAAGAAGAAAUCAUAAGAAAAACUAUAAAGCAUUUAGAAUCAAACAAUAGUAAAACACCAAAUAUCAAACUUGUGGGAAAAAGCUAAAGUAAUACUUAGAAAUACAUUUAUGUUCUCAAGUGCAGUCAUUAGCAAUCAAAAAGGAUUUGAAAUAAAACCUCUGGGGGGUGCCUGGGUUGCUCAGUCUGUUAAGGAUCCAACCCUUGAUCUCAGCUUAGGUCUUGAUCUCAGGGCCAUGAGUUCAAACCCCAUGUCUGGCUCUAUGCUGGGUGUGGAGCCUACUUUAAAAAAAUUAAUAAAGUAGAAUCUCUGGAUAUAUAUACAUUCCCCCAUUCCUUUAACUAAGUACAACUGCAAACCUCAGACUUUUUAUGUAAAACAAACAUGAGGAACUCUGAAAGGUGGAGAGGAGAAGGAGACAUGAGACAUGAGGAAUGACGUAUGGUGAGCUGCCUGGGUUUUCUUUUUGCCUUGUAUAUCCCAGACUUGAUGCUGAAGAAACCAGCAACCUGGAAACAUAAUGAGUACAGACCAAAAAAAAAAAAAAAAAAAAAGAAAGAAGAGAGAGAGAGACCUCUGCUCUAACCAAAGACCAGAAAAUAGGCAGCCUUGCAAGACAAGAAACUCAGUAACUACUCUGCACCAGUCAGACACCACAAACAAAAAAAUGUGGCCCCACUCACAAUCAAGCUGAAUGGAGGACUUAGACUUGUAUUCUUGCAAAGCUGAAAUUAGGUGCCCCAGCUGGGUGGUGGUCAAGAAUACCAAAUGGAAGCCAGGGCUUCUGUGCUGUCUGGUCAUGAACCCUCUCUCUUACCAUCAGGUUUUAAUGGAGACCACAUAGGGAGCCUGGAUUUCUGCCCCAAUCUGGCAGUAACAAGAUGCCAUCUACUGUCCACUAGAGUGGUAUCAGAGGAAGCCUAAAGUAGGGUUGAGACUUACCAUCACCUAGUGGUAUUGAGUCUACACCCACUGUGGUAUCACUGGAAAAGAAGUGAGGAACCAGACUCUCACUCCUUGUCAUCAGUAAUGAGGAACUGUCUCCCCGCUAGGUAUCAAUAGAGGCUAAGUGGAGUUAAUAGUGGGGGACAAUGGGGAAAUCCCCCUCUCCUUCCUCUGUUGGAAUAGUGUUAAAAAAAAUCCAGCUAAAAUAGAUGGUUUAAGGUCCAGAGUUUCAUAACAUACAAAAAGUCCAAGAUUACAUGAAAAUCACUCAUCAUAUCAAGAACCUGAAGAUCUCAAACUGAAUUUUAUUUUCUUUGACUAUAUUAGCAUUUUAUUUUUAAAAAAUUUUUAUUAUGUUCAGUUAGCCAACAUAUAGUACACCAUUAGUUUUUUAUGUAGUGUUCAAUGAUUCAUUGCAAACUGAAUUUUAAAAGACAAAUCAGUAGAUGCUAACACUAAGAUAACAUAUGAGAAUUCUUAGACAAAGAUUUUUAAAAGAUUUCUAAAAUAAUGGAUCAGUGAGCAAUUGAAGACAUGCAAAAUAGAUUCAGCAGAGAAAUUGAAGGUCUUAGAAACAGAAGAUAAUGGAUAUUUUAGAUCAGAAAAAUAUAAUAACUCUUAUAAAAAGCUCAGCAAAUGGUCUCAACAGCAGAAUGGAGGAGACAGGAAAGAAUCAGUGAAUUGGAAGAUAGGACAACAGAAAUACCCAAUCUGAAUAAUAUAAAAGAAAUA